rnacentral:lncRNA from 1 species
CUCUCUUUCAUUUGGUUUUAAAGAGCAUGGUUUAAAUUAGCUAUCUUUGUGCCUGUGACCCUGGGGAGGGGGUCGUCUUGACAGACAUGUGGCUCCCGGACCCCUGCCUCCUUCAGAAGUUUGUAUCCUGAACCUGGGGAGACAGAAGCGGGAUUGUUGUGUAGGUGGGGUGAGCACGGGGAUCUCAACCACUGACACCAAGACGUGUGUGUGGACUGCCGCUCCGUCCAGAUUCAAACUCAUCUGUUGGCUGUGAACGCGGGGAAGGUAUGCCAUUUUCUAUCGAAGGAAAAAACAAGAGCUGCUCCGCUGCUGCC